CCUCCAAGAGGAAGAAGGUCAAGAAAGGCAAGAAGAAAGGUCCGGGAGAGGGCGUCCUGACUCUGCGCUCCAAACCUCCCGGCGAGGACGAGUUUGUUGACUGUCUGCAGAAGUUUAAACACGCCUUCAACCAGCUGGGGAAACUGAAGGAUCAC